UUCAUCAUGGAGGUUUUUAUUAAUCUUAAUUUUUGAAAAAAUAUUACAUUAAAUUUUUUUUUCUAAUGAUUUUUUAAAAUUUUUCUCCUUUUUCUCCCCAAAGCCCCCGGUACAUAGUUGUGUAUUCUUCGUUGUGGGUCCUUCUAGUUGUGGGAUGUGGGACGCUGCCUCAGCGUGGUUUGAUGAGCAGUGCCAUGUCCGCGCCCAGGAUUCGAACCAACGAAGCACUGGGCCGCCUGCAGCGGAGCGCGCGAACUUAACCACUCGGCCACGGGGCCAGCCCCUACAGUAAAUAUUUUAUCUUGAUUACUGAGUUCUUUGGCGGCCCCUUAAAUUUUGGGCCAGAGGCCGGUGCCUCAGUCGCCUCCCCUUAGUCCCAGCCUUGCGGUGGACACAGGAGUAUGUUCCCCACUUCGAGAAGCCCAGGGCUAGGUCAGCGCCUUCCUGGGCCAGCAUCUUGGAGAGAGGCAGCCCAAGAGGGCGGUGGGUGGGCGGACAUGCGCCCGGCGAGCACAUGGCUGGGCCGAAGUUGUGGGCAAACGGCUUUCGAGAACUAUUUUCAAGGCCGAAUUAACUCCCGGCCUGGGGGGACCAUUAACUCCUGCUCUCAGGCGCCCCUUAAUGGACCGCGCGCUCCUCCCCUACCCAGGGUGCGCCGCUUACCUCCGCUCCCUCCUCGCUCGCCUGGCCUGGUGUUUAUGAAGCCACCUGUGCUCCAGGAGAGGGGAGGACGAGUGCGGAUUGUUAAGUCAACUCUGCGACAACUCAGACGCAGCUCAGGGGCUGUCCCCAUCCCUGUUCUCCCACGGACCACGGGUGUCCACCGUUUCUGGGGUGGCCUUCUUGCACUGAUCCGAGCGCGCCAGGACGUGAAGUGUCCACACGUGCUGAUGAGCACAGACACACGUGGGCCUGGAAUUCCACCAUCUGAUGGCACAGAGUUUGGCGGAGCUCUCAGAGACGUGCUGUGCAAGCGCAGCUUUCCUGGAAGGGGGACCCCUGAGCCUUUGUGA
rnacentral:lncRNA from 1 species